GACGAACGCUGGCGGCGUGCUUAACACAUGCAAGUCGAACGGAAAGGCCCUGCUUUUGUGGUGUGCUCGAGUGGCGAACGGGUGAGUAACACGUGAGUAACCUGCCCUUGACUUUGGGAUAACUUCAGGAAACUGGGGCUAAUACCGGAUAGGAGCUCCUGCUGCAUGGUGGGGGUUGGAAAGUUUCGGCGGUUGGGGAUGGACUCGCGGCUUAUCAGCUUGUUGGUGGGGUAGUGGCUUACCAAGGCUUUGACGGGUAGCCGGCCUGAGAGGGUGACCGGGCACCUGGGGACUGAGAUAGGGCCCAGACGCCUACGGGAGGCAGCAGUGGGGAAUAUUGCACAAUGGGCGGAAGCCUGAUGCAGCAACGCCGCGUGCGGGAUGACGGCCUUCGGGUGGUAAACCGCUUUCGCCUGUGACGAAGCGUGAGUGACGGUAAUGGGUAAAGAAGCACCGGCUAACUACGUG
rnacentral:rRNA from 1 species